UCGAUGCACAAGGAUGAAAGAAAUCAGAUUCAAGAAAGCCCAGUCUUCACCCAUGGACAGCUGAGAAAGGCAUGAGACAGGAAUAUUAUAAUUCAUCUAUAAGAAAGUGCUCAUCUAAAGGAGAAAAUGCUAGCCAGACUUCCUCUGAGACACAGCCAGCACUGCUACUGCUGGACACCAAGAAUAUGAAGAUGAACGAAUCUCAUCUCUGGGCACUAAGAGUUGACGACCCAGAGUGGGAGAAGAAAGACAAACAACUCACAGUAUCAACCCACAUCUCCCAGGAGCCUCCUCCUUCCCCUGACCAUAAUAAUCCUCUCCCUCCACGUUUUUUUGUAAGAAGAGAGAGAAUAGGGAGAAGUAUUUUGGUUACAUUCAUUCCUCAAGCACUUUUUUCAGCCCCAGAGGCCUAAAUGAUGGAAAUUCUCAGACACGAUCAUUGGCUCCACUCUCACGUCCAAGGCCAAUGCCCUCCACAACCCCUGUUUUUUUACAUACCUUGUCUAAGACUGAAAUCACAGGCUCCUUCUGUGACAAGAAUCAAAGUUACAACCUUUAUGUGUGCGGGUUGUUUACAAGAAGGCAAAGGAAAAUAAAACCUAAGUAUUCUCAACCUCUUCA